rnacentral:rRNA from 1 species
AGCAGCCGCGGUAAUUCCAGCUCCAAUAGCGUAUAUUAAAGUUGCUGCAGUUAAAAAGCUCGUAGUUGAAUUUCGGGACUAAUAUGUUGGUCGUGCCUCGGUACGUACUGAUAUUUUUGGUUUCUCCCUUCUGACGAACCUUGAUGUCAUUAAUUUGGUGUCUUGGGAAAUCAGGACAGUUACUUUGAAAAAAUUUAGAGUGUUUAAAGCAGGCUCACGCUUGAAUACAUUAGCAUGGAAUAAUGAAAUAGGACGUUUGAUUCUAUUUUGUUGGUUUCUAGGAUUGACGUAAUGAUUAAUAGGGAUAGUUGGGGGCAUUAGUAUUCAAUUGUCAGAGGUGAAAUUCUUGGAUUUAUUGAAGACUAACUACUGCGAAAGCAUUUGCCAAGGAUGUUUUCAUUAAUCAAGAACGAAAGUUAGGGGAUCGAAGACGAUCAGAUACCGUCGUAGUCUUAACCAUAAACUAUGCCGACUAGGGAUCGGAUGAUGUUAAUUUUUUAAUGACUCAUUCGGCGCCUUA